UAGCGAUCAAGAUGGCGUCGGCAAUUGGAUCUGAGCUUCGACCUUUUACGCUAGCGAGGUUAGGGAUGAAAAAGACACAGCAUGGUCCAUGAUGCCCGGUUGAGGAUUAAGAUCUGGUUCCUUAGACGCUUGGGAAUAGUCAUCAGCGUCUUCCAGCCACCCAAACGACAACUCAAGAGAGCUUAUCGGCUUCGGAGAGAGAAGACCUCACAGUGGCCCGUACACCCUUCUCGGUGUUAAGAGUUGCAAGUCGAGGAAAGGAAUCCGAGCGAUCUCAGCUUGAGGUUACGCCAUGUACGAAGUAGGAAAAGUAGUGAUAUCUCGUGCAAUAUCUAUCAAAGGGAAGAAGAGAUUUACUUGAGGCACUACGACAUGUUCAUUAUGAAUUACAUCUAUAAUCCCAGCACUGAGGAAGUGGAAGAAGGAAGAUGAGGAAUGCAAGGUCAGAUUGGACUGCAAGAGGCCCCGUGACCAAAAUAAAAUUAAAUAAAUUGUGAACCACUGCAUAAAUGUGAGUCUAUUCAUGCUCCUGAACAGAGCUGUAGGUUAGUCAGAAAUAAAAAGAACUAUUUCCUACACA